ACAGAUGACUGAUGCCCGGUGAGAAGUUGAACGUGACAUAUACCCUCGUCAGCUGCAAGAAAGGAACCAUGAGACAGAUGACUGAUGCCCGGUGAGAAGUUGAACGUGACAUAUACCCCUCGUCAGCUGCAAGAAAGGAACCACAAGACAGAGGCCUUUACAGAAUGAUGGUUGUUUGGAUGAAGAUACCAUAUCUACAUGACGAAUAACAUGCUGUUGAAAUGUUUACAUUUAUCUAGACAUACACACAAUUUUUCAAGAAAUGAAGUAUUUCUCGCAGAAAAAGAUUGCAGUAAAACAAACAUGUUUUGCUAUACACAUGUUUAUUCCCUUUGUGUGUAUUGGAACUAAACCAAAAAAGGGAGGAAAAAAAGCAAAUUGUACAUAAUGUCAAACCGAACUCCAAAAAUAGGCUGGACAAAAUUAUUGGCACCCUUUCAAAAUUGUGGAAAAAUAAGAUUGAUUCAAGCAUGUGAUGCUCCUUUAAACUCACCUGGGGCAAGUAAUAGGUGUGGGCAAUAUAAAAAUCACACCUGAAAGCAGAUAAAAAGGAGAGAAGUUCACUUAGUAUUUGCAUUGUGUGUCUGUGUGUGCCACACUAAGCAUGGACAACAUAAAGAGGAGAACGGUCUGAGGACUUGAACCAAAAUUGUGGAAAAAUAUCAACAAUCUCAAGGUUACAAGUCCUUCUCCAGAGAUCUAGAUUUGCCUUUGUCCACAGUGCGCAACAUUAUCAAGAAGUUUGCAACCCAUGGCACUGUAGCUAAUCUCCCUGGGUGUGGAUUGAAGAGAAAAAUUUAUGAAAGGUGUCAACGCAGGAUAGUCCGGAUGGUGGAUAACCAGUCCCAAACAAGUUCCAAAGAUAUUCAAGCUGUCCUGCAGGCUCAGGGAGCAUCAGUGUCACCGCGAACUAUCCGUCGACAUUAAAAUGAUAUUACACGCUAGAGAUGAGCGAAUCAAAGCUGACAAACCCGAAUUCGUUACGAAUUUUAGGAAAUAUUCGAUUUGCAACGAAUGCGAAUAUUGCCGUGAUUCUAUCGUGCAAAUCGUUUAAUUUAACUCCAUUCACUGCGGUGCAUGCUCCAGGGCAUCUAAAAUGUCAGUCAGUACAUGGGGCAAGGAAAGCGGGAAGGGAAGUAGGCGGGAUGACCCUGAAUCACAUGCAGGAUGCAGCCUAUCAGCAGCCAGUCACCCCUGUGAUGUCACAGCCCUAUAUAAUCAGCAGCCAUCCUGCGGCCAGUCACCUAAUUAUAAUACACUGCAAAAGGAUCAUAGGACGCAGUGCCUGUGUGUGUGUGUUACAGCAGAGAAAAACACAGUCUAGCAGCAUUUAACAUCCUCCUAGUCACAUCAGCGUUCUCGUGGAUGGAAAGCAUUGUUUUUUUUCACUGAAAAGGAUUUUUACUACAGCUGCUGGCAUUAAACUCCCAAUCACUUUCUUCACCAUAGUAUUACAGAGAGGGGCACAUAACUGUGUGUUGCCUCAUACAUUUCAACAAGCUGCAUCAACUUCAUAAAUCUUAGCAGAGGAGGCAUGAAUAAUUUUUAAGUGCAAUUCAGUGUCUAUGUUCCACAAAAUAUCAUUUACUGCUUAUACUAGUCUAUAGACGGUAUAAUACCCAGCUGUACAUUCCUAAUAGUCUUUGACAGAGUGCAAUUUUGUGUUUAGUACACAGCUUUUUUUUUUUAGCUGCAGCACUGUUGUGUACUGCUGGUGUUUUACAAAAAUAUGUUUUUUUAAGAGUACUGUAGCGCAUUUUUCUGCCCUCAUCAGUGCAUACCGCAUACGUACAUCUAAGUAGUUUACUAUUUUGUACCUGUUAAUCUAUCAAGGGCCUACAUACUGUGAAAGGACAGCCAAUAGUACACACCCUCUGCUGUUCUAGACAAAUACUGUUUUAAGCGUAGUGAAGCGUAUUGUACUCCCCUCAUAUACACAAGUAUGUCAGGCAGAGUAGUGCCAGGACAUGCACAGAGGAGUGGCAGAGGCCUAAAUUCAUCAGGUGCAGGCAGAGGUUGCAGCGUAGGGGUGUGUGGCAGCUGUAGUCGCAGCGAGUGGUCUGAGCUCCCGGUGUCAGCUAGCAGUCGUGUCACGACCAGCAACCCAGCAGCCGUGAUUGAUCGGUUCGCUCAGUCAUCCACUUCAUCCCAAGUGAGGUUCACUUGGUCAUCCACUUCAUCCCUAAUGACAACCGACACCCCCAGUUGACAGUCGGUGGGUUCCUCAAAGUUGGCAUGGCCCUCAUGCUAAUGCUACCUCCUCCAGGCCCUGUCAUUGUGCCACCAUAUGGUCUCCAUGCUGAUGCUGCCACCUCCAGGCUCUCUAAUUGUGCUGCUCUAUGGUCUCCUCCUGCUGAUGCUACCACCUCCAGGCUCUCUUAUUGUGUUGCCUUGGAUGUAAAACAUAAUUAAGGUGCUGGUCCUCAGUUUCAGAAAUUCCUUGCAUUAGGGUCACUUUCAGGACUCCUGAUGCCACCUCCAGGCUGUGGCAUUCAGCCAGCCACUAUAUGGCCUCCUCAUGCUUCAGCCACCUCCAGGCUGUGGCAUUCAGCCACUAUAUGGUCUCCUCAUGCUUCAGCCACCUUCAGGCUUUGCCAUUCAGACACUAUAUGGUUUCCUCAUGCUUCAGCCACCUCCAGGCUGUGCCAUUCAGACACUAUAUGGUCUCCCUAUGCUGCCACAAACUCCAGGCAGUCAUUCAGCCACUAAUAUGGUCUCCUCAUACUGAUGCCACCUCCAGGCUCUGUCAUUGUGCUGCCAUGUGACAUAUGACUUCUUGUUAGAUUUGGUCCUUUGUACCCACACACUGGGGCCCGGGACACUAAAACUUGGGAGUUAAAAGUUCAGUUUCAAAAUCCUCAAUUUCAAUUUAAAAAUCUUAAAUUUCCAGGCUGUGCCAUUCAGACACUAUAUGGUCUCUUCAUGCUUUAGCCACGUCCAGGCUGUGUCAUUCAGCCACUAUAAGGUCUCCAUAUAUUGACUUUGUUUUGUAAGAAACAUGUGGCUAUCCUUGAGUUACUCUCCCAGCAUUAUUGCCAUGUUGAUACCAUACCAGUAAUAAAAGGAAUAUUGCCAAGGACUAGCAGAAACAGGGAACUGUGGAUACUGACCACCGGCUGUUGGAAUUGACUGACUAUCCCAGGUGGUAGAUUUACCAUUUUGAAGUUCCUCAGUUACAGUUUGCUUUAAGUCGUUCAUUCUUUGUUGUGGUUCUUCAGUUGCAGAGAUAAGUUGUAUCAUCUUUUCCUUUUCCUCCGAUGAGCUAAUGUCACUGGAACACACAACACUCAUAUUGACAUCUAAUGAAGUAUCCUUUUCUUCAGAGAAUGUAUAUAUCAUUUUAUUAUUUUGAAUGUGAGGUGGUAUUCUGUCAAUUUCUGAUUAUAAAGGAAUUUUGGAAUCUGGGACCCAGGUAAAAAUAAGUAUUUUUAAGCGUACUGUAGCACAUUUUUCUGCACUCAUUAGUGCAUACCACAUACCUACAUCUAAUUAGUGUACUAUUUUGUACCUGUUAAACUGUCAAGGGUCUAUAUACUGUGAAAGGACAGCCAAUAGU